rnacentral:rRNA from 1 species
CGCGGUGUAGCAAUACACUGGCGGCGAGCGGCGGACGGGUGAGGAAUGCGUCGGAAUCUGCCUCUUUGUGGGGGAUAACGUAGGGAAACUUACGCUAAUACCGCAUACGACCUACGGGUGAAAGUGGGGGACCUUCGGGCCUCACGCAGAGAGAUGAGCCGACGCCGGAUUAGCUAGUUGGCGGGGUAAAGGCCCACCAAGGCGACGAUCCGUAGCUGGUCUGAGAGGAUGAUCAGCCACACUGGAACUGAGACACGGUCCAGACUCCUACGGGAGGCAGCAGUGGGGAAUAUUGGACAAUGGGCGCAAGCCUGAUCCAGCCAUGCCGCGUGUGUGAAGAAGGCCUUCGGG